rnacentral:rRNA from 1 species
CAGUAGCCGCGGGAAAACGGAGGGUGCAAGCGUUAUCCGGAUUUAUUGGGUUUAAAGGGUCCGUAGGCGGACUUAUAAGUCAGUGGUGAAAGCCUGUCGCUUAACGAUAGAACUGCCAUUGAUACUGUAAGUCUUGAGUAUAUUUGAGGUAGCUGGAAUAAGUAGUGUAGCGGUGAAAUGCAUAGAUAUUACUUAGAACACCAAUUGCGAAGGCAGGUUACCAAGAUAUAACUGACGCUGAGGGACGAAAGCGUGGGUAGCGAACAGGAUUAGAUACCCCAGUAGUCCCUGUCUCUUAUAC